rnacentral:lncRNA from 1 species
ACCCUGUACCUUUGCUCCUAAGCAUGAAGAUGGGCUUCUGACCAUGUCCUGCUAGAGGACACUGAAAGGGUAAGCCUUGGGCUUUAACCAGGCAAUGUUCUCAUCCAUAUGAGCAAGCGCUUCAUAUUACUGGCCGUGGCCCUGUGCUGAGUCCUCCUCCCGCCCAUGGCCCUCUCCUCCUGGCCUGUGGUCCUCCGCCUGAACAUGGCCGACUUUGUCUUCAGUUUCCUCUGCCUCGGCAUUGGGCUCCUGAUUUCUCUUCAGCCUGACGCUCUUUUCAGUUAACUGCAAGGCGGUGCACCCAAGUCCGAUGGUGUCCUACCUGGUGACCUCCUACCUGUGCUGGGACGCCAGCGACUUGAGGCUGCACUCCGCAGGGCGCAGCGAGGCGGACAUCCAAACAGCGGAACUCAGACACUGACUCCGAGCACACCCCGGGCCUUCCCAUUUCAUACACCCUCGAGGAUGAGACCCAAGCACCUCCAAGGAAUAGCACCCGAGGUCUUCAGGACACCGACCGGUAGCCAUGGCCAGAUGCCCGGCCAACCCCUUCAGCGUGGUCACGCCCCGGAUAUUCGACCUCCCCUGAGGCCCCACCCCCUGAUAUCAGGCCACGCCCUCCGAGGGGACCGGUGGCAAACUCCAACCCUCGCUCUAGGGCCCGCCCUUUGCGGCUUUAUCCCUGCCCACUGGGUCCUCACAGUACCUCCACCCCAGAAGUCCAGCAUCCCCUCCCGUUCUGCAGACACUUGUCCAGCGUCCCGCUGAGCUUGGCAGUGUGGCUAGUUUGUGUGGCCCUGCCCCUGGUGCCCAGCCUUCGCAGGCCACACCCUGAAGCCACUCUCCACCCCCUCAGCC